rnacentral:lncRNA from 1 species
GUUCUACCUGAGCCCAGAUGGUUAGCCACAUUAUUUACCCUUGUGUUUGUUCUCUUUAAGGUAAGAUGAAAAUAACCUUCCUGGGAAGAGUCUGAGGAUGCUGUGGAAGCUGGAUGCUCACCUCUUUUCCAAUAUUCUUUUCCUUCUGUAGAAACCAUAGUCUCUAGAUAGAGUUCUGCCUGUCUAACCUGUGCUGAUUGUGGAGAGAAGGAAUGGCAACAUUGUCAAAGUGAAAUUGUUUCUCUUACACUUACCAUGUGGUUGUUAUUCUGCUCUAUGGACCAUGCAUUUUGACUCAGAAUUAUUUCCAAUUUUAGAGGUUUUAACCAAGGUGUUCUUUUCUGUGUGGAUAGUUGCUGGUUGAAAUUCCUGUGAAAGUUAAGGAAGCCUGGAGAACUCUUAUUCUGCCAUCUUGCUGACAUCACUCUGUACUGUGGUUCCUUGAGUUCGUUUUUUCUGUUUGUAUUGGCCCUAUUUCCUAUGAGGGGGUUUUCCUCAAGCUUUGCUGGUCCUCACCUGUUCAAGUCCAGUAAGAAUAAAACAUUGAACUGCUGACUGGGCUUAAGUGAAGUUUGCAGCCUCUUGGGUUCUAGACUUGUGUGUGUGUGUGGGGGGGUCCUUCAUUUUUUCCUCUGGGACUCCAAAUAUCUGAUUGUUUUUACUUUGAUAGAGGUAUAAAUUGGUCUAAGCACCUUGAAAGAAUUU